rnacentral:rRNA from 1 species
GCAUAUCAAUAAGCGGAGGAAAAGAAACCAACAGGGAUUGCCUCAGUAACGGCGAGUGAAGCGGCAAAAGCUCAAAUUUGAAAUCCCCCGGGAAUUGUAAUUUGAAGAGAUUUGGGUCCGGCCGGCAGGGGUUAAGUCCACUGGAAAGUGGCGCCACAGAGGGUGACAGCCCCGUGAACCCCUUCAAAGCCCUCAUCCCAGAUCUCCAAGAGUCGAGUUGUUUGGGAAUGCAGCUCUAAGUGGGUGGUAAAUUCCAUCUAAAGCUAAAUACCGGCGAGAGACCGAUAGCGAACAAGUACAGUGAUGGAAAGAUGAAAAGCACUUUGAAAAGAGAGUGAAAAAGUACGUGAAAUUGUUGAAAGGGAAGGGCUUGCAAGCAGACACUUAACUGGGCCAGCAUCGGGGCGGCGGGAAGCAAAACCACUGGGGAAUGUACCUUUCGAGGAUUAUAACCCCGGUCUUUACUUCCUCACCAUCCCGAGGCCUGCAAUCUAAGGAUGCUGGCGUAAUGGUUGCAAGUCGCCCGUCUUGAAACACGGACCAAGGAGUCUAACAAUCAUGCAAGUGUUUGGGCCCAAAACCCAUACGCGCAAUGAAAGUAACCGGAGCGAACCUCACCGGUGCAGCUCCAGCCACACCGAGACCCAAAUCCCGGUGUGAGCAAGCAUGGCUGUUGGGACCCGAAAGAUGGUGAACUAUACCUGGAUAGGGUGAAGCCAGAGGAAACUCUGGUGGAGGCUCGUAGCGGUUCUGACGUGCAAAUCGAUCGUCGAAUCUGGGUAUAGGGGGCGAAAGACUAAUCGAACCAUCUAGUAGCUGGGUUCCUGCCGA